rnacentral:rRNA from 1 species
UUAACCUCAGAUCAGCGCAAGAUUACCCAGGUGAA